ACGGCCACAUCAGCUUACACCAGUUUUCAUACGAUUACUGAAGUUAAACCAUGUUAAGCCUGGUCAGUACCUAGAUGGGUAACCACUUGGGAAUAUCAGAUGUUGUAAG